rnacentral:lncRNA from 1 species
CGGGAAUCGGUGGCUUCUUUAGCACUUGAUUCGCUGGCUUUUGACUCCGGGAACUGAUGGCUUCCUUAGCAUCAUCUUCUCCGGCUUUGUUUGCGGCGAGAUACCUCUUUGGUUUAUCGCUGGUUUUGUUUUUUUGUUGUCCCCCUUCUCUGUUUUCUCUUGUGUCGAUUGCCUCUCGAUCUGAAUCUCCAAUUGUUUUUUCCUCUCCUUGGUAUAGGUAGUUGCAUCUUCAAGCUUAUCCGUAUCUUUAAAGAUGCCUGGUGUAAUUGUGCAGGAGUAUUGUUGUUUUAGAUCGAUGAUGGCAAUUGAUUUCGUUCUUAUGAAGCGAAGAAUCGUCGGUUCUUAGUCUACUGGAUUUCAUCCUCUUUUGACUACUCCGAUUGAUAGUUGCCGGUGGUUAUCGGAAGUUUGGUCCCAGUGAUAAUUUUGGAGUCUCCGGCGUGCCUCUCUGUCGAUG